GCCCGGCUAGCUCAAUCGGUAGAGCGUGAGACUCUUAAUCUCAAGGCUGCGGGUUCGAGCCCCGCGUUGGGCU
rfam:Aspergillus tubingensis CBS 134.48 unplaced genomic scaffold ASPTTscaffold_1, whole genome shotgun sequence.